GAGUAUAAGAAAGAAGGAGAAAUUUUGCCCUCCUGGAGGAGCUCAGAGAGCUUUUUGUUCCAGGUCUUACUGAUAGAGAGUAGCAGAGUCAAGAUCAACAGCUUUAUUAAAAAACGAAAGCAGAGCCCCCCCUUCCUGCGCCCCCCGCCCCCGGUCAUGGCGGCAUCGGCCUCAGGCUCUGAGCAUCCAGGCAUCCUAAGGGUAGAAGACGAGCUCAGGGAUCAGGUACCAGAGUCCGGAACAUGAGAGCGGCCGCAACCGGGCCCGGAGCGGCGGCACGUGUCGGGGCCUGGGUUUCACCUCCCCACACGGAGGAGAGGGCGGUGAGCUGAGACCCCGGUGGCUCUGGGCGCCGAGUCUCACCUGCGGCCACGGCCAAAGCCGCAGGUGAUUUUCAACCAACGCCGAGAUCCAUUUGUUUUGCAGGAUAAAUUCUGGGAACAAUUUCUCUGGAAUUCUGAUUGGUCUCUUUUUGGGGGAACACUUGCCUGAGAAAGCUAAAUGUCCAAUCCAAAAAUGGGCAGAAGACCUAAAUAGACAUUUCUCC